AUCUCGAUCCCUCCCGUCUCUUCCCUCCCCCGAUCACCCUCUCUCUCUUGCUUUCUCCCUGCCAGCGCUCGUCUCUCUCUGUCUCUCUUUGCCUUCCAUGCUCCCAGCUCCCCCUUCAGUCAGUGUAGGGUUUGCUCACCGCCACCGCCCCCGUCUCGCUGAGCCGUCGACCCCCUCUGCCCCUUUCCCACAGCGGCGGCGGCCCUCUGCCGCUCUCCCCUUCCUCACUUCGCGGCCGUCUGCUCUCUCCCUCCUCCACACCUAGCCGCCGCCCCUAUGUCCCUCUCCCCAUCCGCCCGCCUUCGCUGCCCCGACUGAGAGGGCCACCACGGCCUCCCGUCCUUCAUUCCCUCACCACCCCUGUGUCACGUCUGCAGAAGAGCGCGAAGCCCGUCGGCGUGACCCACUACCAUGAUGUGUCAGAGAUAAUCUUGAUCUCAUCAGCUAAUUAACCACCAUGUUCGGCCGCAGGAACAUAUGCAUGGUACUUGAACUGGUAGAUGACCAACAGCCCCAUGGCAUAUGGUGAAACUGCUAUUAGAAAGGCAAAAAAUGGAUACUGGAAGUGCAUAGAUGUUCUAAGAAUACCAACAAGUACAUGUACUGUUGGUGCAAAAAAUUAGUCAGAAUUUUAUGAAGGCGAGUUGCCAUUUGGUAAGAGAAUCAGGUGGGGGUGAUGCAUGAAUAUCAGGUAGAACAUAAUGAUGAAGGGGAUGUACCACAGGGUUGCAAGUCUUUGUGUACAAUAUUGUUGCAGGGAAACAAAAACUAAACUCCUAAGUAUGCAUAUAUUCUGUAUUGUACUCCAACACAUCCUUGGUUUGCUCCCCUGGUCUAUCAUUUUGCUCAUAUGUGCCUUCUUGUUCUUAUGCUUCAUGAUUAUGCCAUUGGUUAAAGUACAACAUGGUGGCGACUUUUUAUUCCUGGAAUUUUUCCAUGGUGUUGUCUUUUGGGCGAAUCAUUUUGAUGUUACCAAGCUUAAAAGUUGCUACAAGUCCAAAUAGAAUUUCUUGGCUCCAUGUUUUGAGAGUAUAGUUGCUUCCGAUAAGAAAGUUUACCUUUUAAGUACUAUACUCAUCAGUGAUAGUAUUCCAGGUUAUAACAGUCUUCUGAGAAGCGGGUGUCCGGGUUAUUCUGGUUGUCAAUUUCUGGACAAAUUAGAGUUUCAGAGGAUAUUUUUUCCUGCUAUAUAUUGUCAGCUAUUUCCCCUUUUCGUUGAAGCAGCAGAAGUAAUAUUGUCCAUUUUACAAAACAAAAAAAGAAUGUUGGUUUACAACCAUAUUCUCUUUCUUGCUAUCUCAAUAUUAACAAUGUUGACACUAAGGUCUCUGAUUUGUGACGGCGGAUCUGCAGUGGUUUUUUUUCUCCGUUUGUUCUCUAUCGGUGCCGGUGAGCCUUAGCCGAGUUCGGCCUCUCUAUUCUGUGGUGGUGUGUUCUCCUCAGUGCCGUGGGAUUUUACUUUGUCUUGAUUGUGCUUGCCUCUCUAUGCAGGUCCUGUGUGUGGCCGUUCGGUCAGGUGAUUAGCUUCGUUGUUCCUCAGCUAUGCUUGCCUUUUCAGGAAGUUAGGGCUCCAAAGUAUGCAUAAAUGUGAGCAAUCCAGGCAUGGUGGCCUUUCGGAACAAGUAUGCCGUAGUCUGUUAUAAGGUACUAGGAUCACCAGGGGACGCUUCACUGUUCAAUGGAUCGUGGACAGAGGUCGCCGUCUCACCGCAGCUGAUAUGCAGGUUGCAUACGUUGCUUAUUUGGCGUCUUUGGACCCGCAUCUAGCAAUGAUAAAUGCAACCUUGUUUUUGUGCCUGGAGGAGUAUAUUAUGCAGUACUGAUUUUGUGUGCCAUAUGUAGAACAAGCUUUUUAGAUGCAAGAUGCAGAUAAGGGAGGUGUCAAACGAGCAUGUCUGUUGGUUUUUUUUUCGUGCGAUACCUGUUCCUCGAAAGCAAGUGAGGAUGACGUCGAUUAUAGGUGUACGAAUCCUAACUGUUCUAGCAAGUCAGCCAGCCCAAGGUACAAACUCAUGGUUGCAGGGGCAGACAAGAAUGCAUCGAUUGAGCUUGUGUUUUUCGGUGAUACAGCCAGAGAUCUCAUUGGAAAGCAAGAAGAUGUCUUGCUCGCUGAAUCAUAUGCUUCUCAGCUAGAUGUCCCUAGUGAGAUUUCAGCGCUCGUGGGCAGAAACUAUGUCGUUGAUGUGACAUUAUCUCGCUACUGUCUCCGCCAGGAGAAUAUAUCUUUUCAGGUCAUGAGUUGUGUUAUCCUGAAGAAGGUGUUGUCUUCCAUGAAUUCACGGGAACAGAUGCACCGGCAAUUUCGUCUUCCCUGAAUGAGUCAUCGUCUUCAGUACUGAUGUUUUUUUUCAUGCGAAUUUAUUGGACAAAGUUGUUCUUUGUGUUUUGGUCCUCCAACUUCACCUACGGAUCUUAUGGAUCUCCUGUGCAGGUUUGUAGGAUACUCCCACUCAUAGCCAGCCGCAACUCCGCAAACUCUACAUGUUGCUUCUACUCCUCGCUCCAGUGUUCUGGUAUAGAGUUAUGUUCUCUGAGUAUUUGUUUUAUCAUGUGAUGCACAUGAUUUAUUCUUGCCGAGGAAGAGGUUCAUAUCAAAGAUGCGAGUACCUCGCUGACUACUGCUCAGCAAGAAAAACGCAAAAAGUUUAAGAGGUCACGGACAGGGUCAGCAAAGUUGCGGAAGAGGCAAAGGAUGCGGAAAAAGAAUGAUGUUGCAUGACUCUCGCCGCCGUCAGCGUUAUGUAGAAAGGAUAAGUUCUCCCAGGCUGGUCAAUGCGUGUUUCUACUACGUGUGUGUGGUUUCUGUGCUGUAGUGGCAAUGCUUUUGUGCUUGUGUAAGAUAGACAGUGUUUUGUUGCUGGACUAAUGUGUGUCUGGGCUACUCGUUGUGUGGUCACACUUUGUGUAUGUGGUUCGUUGACUGUAGUAUGGAAGCUUUUGUGCGUACGUAAGAUAGAUGAUAUUUCGUCAUUA